rnacentral:rRNA from 1 species
UACAGAGGUCCCAAGCGUUGUUCGGAUUCACUGGGCGUAAAGGGUGCGUAGGUGGUUGGGUAAGUCUGAUGUGAAAUCUCCGGGCUCAACCCGGAAAUGGCAUUGGAUACUAUUCGGCUAGAGGUUUGGAGGGGGGACUGGAAUUCUCGGUGUAGCAGUGAAAUGCGUAGAUAUCGAGAGGAACACCAGUGGCGAAGGCGGUUCUCUGGGCCUUACCUGACGCUGAGGAGCGAAAGCGUGGGGAGCGAACAGG